rnacentral:rRNA from 1 species
CUACCUACGGGAGGCAGCAGUGGGGAAUAUUGCACAAUGGGGGGAACCCUGAUGCAGCGACGCCGCGUGGGUGAAGGAGCACCUCGGUGCGUAAAGCCCUAUCGGCAGGGAAGAAACAGACGGUACCUGACUAAGAAGCCCCGGCUAACUACGUGCCAGCAGCCGCGGUAAUACGUAGGGGGCAAGCGUUAUCCGGAUUCACUGGGUGUAAAGGGAGCGUAGAUGGCGACGCAAGUCUGGAGUGAAAGCCCGGGGCCCAACCCCGGGACCGCCCUGGAAACUGGGGGGCUGGAGUACGGGGGGGG